ensembl:misc_RNA
GGAUGGUGUCCCUGGGAGGUGGAUAGAAUUCAGCACUGUAGAAUUGUCUCACCAUUUGAAUAGGUGCUGCUCAGCCCUUUGGAGUCUGUCUUCGGAAAGACCAUGGCUUUCUGACUUUUCAUCUUUUUGGGUGGCUGCUUGUUGCAGUAUUGUCUUUGUUUUAGACUAA